GGGGGACAUCUAGAGUGAAGAGGUUGAGUCUCGAGGAUGGGCUAAAGGAUGCCAUUAUCUUCAUCGAGCAAAAUGCAUAGGGGUAUACAAGACCUACACAAUUAUGCAGUAGUUGUAACUACAAAUAUUGCUGACUAUAAUGUACACCGUGUAUUUAUUGAUAAUGAAAGCUCGAUCGUCGUUUUAUAUUUUUCCAUCUUC
rnacentral:lncRNA from 1 species